GACAGGGAAGUCCUAAAUGGAACAUGGCAGCAGCAUUACUUGCUCUAACAGCAAUUUAUCCAUCAUGAAGUGAUGGCAGUCUGAUUUUUGGAAGGCUAGGAAUAUUUUUUGCAUUUACUAAUAUAGCAAGAUACCUCCUACUACUAUCAUAAAACAAGCUCACACUUUGUUAGAUCAACAUGAUGUUGAUACAGUAAAGGUUCCGGAGUCUCACAAGUCUAAUUAUGUUGUAUUGCUGCAAAACUCUGGUUGGACACUGAUAUGACUAAGAUCGAACACUGUUUGAGAA
rnacentral:lncRNA from 1 species